CCUACGGGCGGCAGCAGUAGGGAAUCUUCCACAAUGGACGAAAGUCUGAUGGAGCAACGCCGCGUGUGUGAUGAAGGGUUUCGGCUCGUAAAACACUGUUGUAAGAGAAGAAUGACAUUGAGAGUAACUGUUCAGUUUGUGACGGUAUCUUACCAGAAAGGAACGGCUAAAUACGUGCCAGCAGCCGCGGUAAUACGUAUGUUCCAAGCGUUAUCCGGAUUUAGUGGGCGUAAAGCGGGAGCAGGCGGUGUGUUAAGUCCAACGUGAAAGCCCACAGCUUAACUUGGGAAGGGCUGUUGAAACGGGAUAGCUUGAGUGCAGUAGAUGAGAGUGGAACUCCAUGUGUAGCGGUGAAAUGCGUAGAUAUAUGGAAGAACACCGGUGGCGAAGGCAGCUCUCUGGACUGGAACUGACGUUGAGGCUCGAAAGUGUGGGUAGCAAACAGGAUUAGAUACCCCUGUAGUC
rnacentral:rRNA from 1 species